rnacentral:tRNA from 1 species
UCCCUAGUGGCUCAGUUGAUAAAGAAUCUGCCUGCAAUGCAGGAGACCCAGGUUCAAUCCCUGGGUCAGGAA